GCCCAGACUCCUACGGGAGGCAGCAGUGGGGAAUAUUGGGCAAUGGGAGAAACCCUGACCCAGCGACGCCGCGUGAGGGAUGAAGGUUCUCGGAUCGUAAACCUCUGUCAGAAGGGAAGAAAUUAUAUCAUGCUAAUCAGUGGUGUAUUGACGGUACCUUCAAAGGAAGCACCGGCUAACUCCGUGCCAGCAGCCGCGGUAAUACGGAGGAUGCGAGCGUUAUCCGGAUUUAUUGGGUUUAAAGGGUGCGCAGGCGGGCUGUUAAGCCGGCGGUAAAAAUUCAGGGCUCAACCCUGUCGAGCCGUCGGAACUGGCAGUCUUGAGUGGGCGAGAAGUAUGCGGAAUGCGUGGUGUAGCGGUGAAAUGCAUAGAUAUCACGCAGAACGCCGAUUGCGAAGGCAGCAUACCGGCGCCCAACUGACGCUGAGGCACGAAAGCGUGGGGAUCGAACAGGAUUAGAUACCCCCGUAAA
rnacentral:rRNA from 1 species